rnacentral:sRNA from 1 species
UCGCCGAAAGGUGAGGCCCCGGAUAGGA